AUUAGAUCUAAGCGAUGAUGGCACUGCUUGCAAUGAUAUUGACGAUUGCGUGGUGGAUACAACGCUCUGUGCAAAUGGAAUGUGUACGAACACAGAUGGCUCUUACACCUGUAACCCGUGUGACUCUGGAUAUGAAUUAAGCGAUGAUGGCACUGCUUGCAAUGAUAUUGACGAUUGCGUGGUGGAUACAACGCUCUGUGCAAAUGGAAUGUGUACGAACACAGAUGGCUCUUACACCUGUAACCCGUGUGACUCUGGAUAUGAAUUAAGCGAUGAUGGCACUGCUUGCAAUGAUAUUGACGAAUGCGUGGUGGAUAUGGCCUGUUCAAAUGGAA
rnacentral:lncRNA from 1 species